rnacentral:rRNA from 1 species
CCUACGGGAGGCAGCAGUGGGGAAUAUUGCGCAAUGGGCGAAAGCCUGACGCAGCGAAGCCGCGUGAGGGAUGAAGGUCCUCGGAGCGUAAACCUCCGUCAGCAGGGAAGAACGGUCGCUGUGCUAAUCAGCAGUGAAUUGACGGUACCUGCAAAGGAAGCACCGGCUAACUCCGUGCCAGCAGCCGCGGGAAUACGGAGGGUGCGAGCGUUAAUCCGAAUUACUGGGGGUAAAGCGCUCGUAGGCGGUAUGUCCAGUCAAGGGUGAAAGCCCCGGGCUCAACGUGGGAACUGCCUUUGAAACUGGUAAACUGGAGUGUGUGAGAGGAUAGUGGAAUGCCAGGUGUAGGAGUGAAAUCCGUAGAUAUCUGGAGGAACAUCAGUGGCGAAGGCGACUAUCUGGCACAUAACUGACGCUGAGGAGCGAAAGCGUGGGUAGCAAACAGGAUUAGAUACCCCUGUAGUC